CUGUCUUUGAUCUCAUCACUAGGACACCCUAUGUAUGAACUGUUUUCUGUGUUGUUGGACUUGAUUUCAGGUGACACUCCUCAGGAUGAGGAGACCAACUCUUGCUGGGACUGGUUGCCUGGCUCUGGAUCCCAACUGUCAGCCGUCCUCACACCAUCCUGCUACCUGCUCUACCAUCCGCUGUGAGCCUGAUUCUCACUAUCUACUGCACGCUGGACCAGUGAUCUCCUGUGCCAACUCCUACACCACCUCUAGACUGUGUUUCAUGCCUAUGGCAUUCACCUGACUUGAGCCACCAGCUGCGCCUCUCCUACAACCUUGGGUUGUAGCUCUAGCAGUCCAGUCAACCCAGCACUCCCCGCUGCCCUGAGAUCAGCUGACGAGACCGGUUCUGACCACUCAUUUCUGUAGUCAUUAAAAUACUUUUACCUGGUUAAGCCUGAGUCAGAGUUCUGCC